UACGUAGGGUCCAAGCGUUAUCCGGAAUCACUGGGCGUAAAGCGUGCGUAGGUGGAUUGUUAAGUGCGGUGCGAAAUCCUGAUGGCUCAACCAUAUGGACUGUAUCGCAUACUGGCAACCUAGGAGGACAUGAGAGGCAAAGUGGAAGUUACUGGUGUAGCAGUGAAAUGACGUAGAGAUCAGUAGGAACACCAAUGGCGAAGGCAGCUUGCUGGCAUGUAUCUGACGCUAAGGCACGGAAAGCGUGGGGAGCGAACAGG
rnacentral:rRNA from 1 species